rnacentral:rRNA from 1 species
UACGUAGGGUGCGAGCGUUAAUCGGAAUUACUGGGCGUAAAGGGCGCGCAGGCGGCUGAUCAAGUCAGAUGUGAAAGCCCCGGGCUCAACCUGGGAAUAGCAUUUGGGACUGGUCGGCUAGAGUUCGGGAGAGGAGAGUGGAAUUCCUGGUGUAGCGGUGAAAUGCGUAGAUAUUGCUCGGAAGGCCAGAGCCGAAGGGGCCCUACUGGUGCGCAACUGACACUGAGGCACGAAAGCGUGGGGAGCAAACAGG